rnacentral:lncRNA from 1 species
UCGCAUUCAUUCUCACCAGAAAACGAAAUUCAGAAAUCUCAUUCAUAGUAACAUGGCUACCAGAACAUUUAGUUGAACAAAAAUAUUCUUAAUUUAAUCAAUGAAGAGAGCUAGUAGUACACGUACUGCUUCGCACUUACGGGUGGAAAUCAGGUUAAUGUUAGAUUUAGUCGUAAUUUGAACCUAGUCAAUAGCCAGUAAUUUUACCAAUGAAGAGCAUGUUUGGAUGAUCAAGUUGAAAAUCCUGGAUAUUUAUGAAUAUAAGUUUAGCUCAGCCUUUUUUUUACGGUUCUUUUUUUUUUCCUCCAAUAAUUUUGCUACUUGUACUAGUCCAACCCAUUAAUCCCAUAUGAACUUUCAGCCCAAUCGUCCCAAUAGGCCAUAUAGAAUAUUGACCCUUCGGGCUUAUUUGGAUGGUUGGGCUAAAGAUCGUCUGGAAUUUAUUGGUUGAGCUAAUACAAUCAGCAAGAUUGAAUGAUGACAGACUGAGCUAGGUCUAUGUUUGUAAAUACCCAAAAAUAGCUAUGCAGUAGUCUUAUAAUGUUGCUAGUUGUAUUGCCCUAUGAAUCUUAGAGGAUUUUCAUCCUAAUCAUCCAAACAAGCCC